UAAUUUGAGAGUUUGAUCCUGGCUCAGGACGAACGCUGGCGGCGUGCCUAAUACAUGCAAGUCGAACGAACUCUGGUAUUGAUUGGUGCUUGCAUCAUGAUUUACAUUUGAGUGAGUGGCGAACUGGUGAGUAACACGUGGGAAACCUGCCCAGAAGCGGGGGAUAACACCUGGAAACAGAUGCUAAUACCGCAUAACAACUUGGACCGCAUGGUCCGAGCUUGAAAGAUGGCUUCGGCUAUCACUUUUGGAUGGUCCCGCGGCGUAUUAGCUAGA
rnacentral:rRNA from 1 species